GCGAGCGAACCGGGAUAAGCCCAGCUUGAAAAUCGGAUGCCCCAGGCGUUCGAAUUGUAGUCUGAAGAAGCGUCCUCAGCAACGGACCGGGCCCAAGUCCCUUGGAAGGGGGCGCCGUAGAGGGUGAGAGCCCCGUUGUGCCCGGACCCUGUCGCACCACGAGGCGUUGUCAACGAGUCGGGUUGUUUGAGAAUGCAGCCCCAAUCGGGCGGUAAAUUCCG
rnacentral:rRNA from 1 species